ACGGGAGUAGCUCAGUUUGGUAGAGCGCCGGUCUCCAAAACCGGGUGUCGGGAGUUCGAGUCUCUCCUUCCGUGC
rnacentral:tRNA from 1 species